UACAGAGGUCUCAAGCGUUGUUCGGAUUCAUUGGGCGUAAAGGGUGUGUAGGUGGCGCCGUAAGUCGGGUGUGAAAUUUCGGAGCUUAACUCCGAAACUGCAUUCGAUACUGCGGUGCUUUGAGGACUGGAGAGGAGACUGGAAUUCAUGGUGUAGCAGUGAAAAUGCGUAGAGAUCAUGAGGAAGACCAGUGGCGAAGGCGGGUCUCUGGACAGUUCCUGACACUGAGACACGAAGGCCAGGGGGAGCAAAACGGGG
rnacentral:rRNA from 1 species